ACGCAUCGUUGCUUUCUCAGUUUCCUGACCCAUGUAAUAGUUGGAAGCUGUCUUCGUUUCUGAAGGUUGCCUCCUUCAUGGCUGGGUUUUGUCUUGUGUGUAGCAGACCAAUAAAAUAGGUGCAGCAAAUAAUUUGUUUGGUCUGGCUGCUGAUCAA